rnacentral:tRNA from 1 species
GGAGGCGUCGCCUAGUCCGGUCGAUGGCGCCCGCCUGCUAAGCGGGUUGAGGGUAACCCCUCUCGCGAGUUCAAAUCUCGCCGCCUCCG